CCUACGGGAGGCAGCAGUGGGGAAUAUUGGACAAUGGGGGAAACCCUGAUCCAGCCAUGCCGCGUGAGUGAUGAAGGCCUUAGGGUUGUAAAGCUCUUUCGUCGGGGAAGAUAAUGACGGUACCCGAAGAAGAAGCCUCGGCUAACUCCGUGCCAGCAGCCGCGGUAAGACGGAGGAGGCUAGCGUUGUUCGGAAUUACUGGGCGUAAAGCGUGCGCAGGUUGUGAGUUCAGUCUGAUGUGAAAGCCCGGGGCUCAACCUCGGAUGUGCAUUAGAUACUGACUUGCUGGAGGUUGGAAGAGGUGAGUGGAAUUCCCAGUGUAGAGGUGAAAUUCGUAGAUAUUGGGAAGAACACCAGUGGCGAAGGCGGCUCUCUGGUCCACACCUGACACUCAAGCACGAAAGCGUGGGGAGCAAACAGGAUUAGAUACCCUAGUAGUCC
rnacentral:rRNA from 1 species